ACUGCUCAGUAACACGUGGAUAACCUGCCAAGGGUCCGGGAUAACCCCGGGAAACUGGGGAUAAUACCGGAUGGAUCACCAUUGCUGGAAUGCUUGGUGGUCGAAAGGUGACGCCCUUGGAUGGGUCUGCGGCGGAUUAGGUUGACGCCGGUGUAACGUACCGGCGUGCCUGUAAUCCGUACGGGUUGUGGGAGCAAGAGCCCGGAGAUGGAUUCUGAGACACGAAUCCAGGCCCUACGGGGCGCAGCAGGCGCGAAAACUCUACAAUGCAGGCAACUGCGAUAGGGGGACAUCGAGUGGCAUCCACCUUGGGUGCCUGUCCCACCGUCUAAAAAACGGUGGUUAGCAAGGGCCGGGUAAGACCGGUGCCAGCCGCCGCGGUAAUACCGGCGGCUCGAGUGGUGGCCGAUAUUAUUGAGUCUAAAGGGUCCGUAGCCGGCUUUGCAAGUCCCCUGGGAAAUCCAGCGGCUUAACCGUUGGGCUUUCAUGGGAUACUACAUUGCUUGGGACUGGGAGAGGUAGGAGGUACUCGGGGGGUAGGGGUGAAAUCCUGUAAUCCUCGGGGACCACCGGUGGCGAAGGCGUCCUACCAGAACAGGUCCGACGGUGAGGGACGAAAGCUAGGGGCACGAACCGGAUUAGAUACCCGGGUAGUCCUAGCCGUAAACGAUGCCCGCUAGGUGUCACGACGGUCGUGAAUCGUCGUGGUGCCGUAGGGAAGCCGCGAAGCGGGCCUCUUGGGAAGUACGGCCGCAAGGCUGAAACUUAAAGGAAUUGGCGGGGGAGCAC
rnacentral:rRNA from 1 species